CUUGGUACUGAUGAUUCAUGGCCUACAUCAAAUGAUGAAGACUUUAAUUUUGAUAUGAAGACUGUCCCCAAACCAAACUUGAGAGCGCUAAUGAAUGCUUCUGAGCAAUUCAAGAAUGUGGGAACAAAAUGUGGCCUUAUAACACUAGGAGGUAGAACUUUAUCUGAGCACGAUAAUUCUGAUUAUGAAGAUGAAAAUAUAGUUGGAC